rnacentral:rRNA from 1 species
GGGAAAGUGGGGGACGCGCAAGAGCCUCACGCUAGUGGAGCGGCCGAUGUCGGAUUAGCUAGUUGGUGAGGUAAAGGCUUACCAAGGCGACGAUCCGUAGCUGGUUUGAGAGAACGACCAGCCACACUGGGACUGAGACACGGCCCAGACUCCUACGGGAGGCAGCAGUGGGGAAUUUUGGACAAUGGGGGCAACCCUGAUCCAGCCAUGCCGCGUGAGUGAAGAAGGCCUUCGGGUUGUAAAGCUCUUUCGGCGGGGACAAAACGGCCAUCCUUAAUAAGGGUGGUUAAUGAUGGUACCCGAAGAAGAAGCACCGGCUAACUACGUGCCAGCAGCCGCGGUAAUACGUAGGGUGCGAGCGUUAAUCGGAAUUACUGGGCGUAAAGCGUGCGCAGGUGGUUUCGUAAGUCAGAUGUGAAAGCCCCGGGCUUAACCUGGGAACGGCAUUUGAGACUGCGAAGCUAGAGUACGGCAGAGGAGGUGGAAUUCACGUGUACAGU